rnacentral:rRNA from 1 species
UACGUAGGGUGCGAGCGUUGUCCGGAAUUAUUGGGCGUAAAGGGCUCGUAGGCGGUCUGUUGCGUCGGGAGUGAAAACUCAGGGCUUAACCCUGAGCCUGCUUCCGAUACGGGCAGACUAGAGGUAUGCAGGGGAGAACGGAAUUCCUGGUGUAGCGGUGAAAUGCGCAGAUAUUAGGAGGAACACCGGUGGCGAAGGCGGUUCUCUGGGCAUUACCUGACGCUGAGGAGCGAAAGUGUGGGGAGCGAACAGG